ACUUUCCACGUGAACCGUUUCAACCCAAUAGUUGGGGGUCUUAUUUGGCGGCGGCUGCUGGCUUAAUUGUUGGCGGCUGCUGCUGAGUGAGCCCUAUCAAAAAAAAGGCGAACGUUUGGGCUUCGGCCUGAUUUAGUAGUCUUUUUUUCUUUUAAACCCAUUCCUUAAUACUGAAUAUACUGUGGGGACGAAAGUCUCUGCUUUUAACUAGAUAGCAACUUUCAGCAGUGGAUGUCUAGGCUCGCACAUCGAUGAAGAACGCUGCGAACUGCGAUACGUAAUGCGAAUUGCAGGAUUCAGUGAGUCAUCGAAAUUUUGAACGCAUAUUGCACUUCCGGGUUAGUCCUGGAAGUAUGCCUGUAUCAGUGUCCGUACAUUAAACUUGACUUUCUUCCUUCCGUGUAGUCGGUGGAGGAGAUGUCAGAUGUGAAGUGUCUUGCGAUUGGUCUUCGGACCGGCUGCGAGUCCUUUUAAAUGUACUAAACUGAACUUCUCUUUGCUCGAAAAGUGGUGGCGUUGCUGGUUGUGAAGGCUGCUAUUGUGGCAAAUUGGCGACUGGUUUGUCUGCUGCGGCGUUAAUGGAAGAGUGUUCGAUUCGUGGUAUGGUUGGCUUCGGCUGAACAAUGCACUUAUUGGACGUUUUUCCUGCUGUGGCGUGAUGGACUGGUGAACCAUAGCUCGGUGGCUUGGCUUUUGAAUUGGCUUUGCUGUUGCGAAGUAGGGUGGCAGCUUCGGUUGUCGAGGGUCGAUCCAUUUGGGAAC
rnacentral:rRNA from 1 species